CAGUGCCCAUUAAGCUGAAGGUUCCUGAGAGGAUUCAAUAAACCUUGGACUUUGCCCUUCAUGAGGGCCUCACUCCUGCUUCCUCCAUUGUUGCUGCCGUCUCUUCCAAUAAGCCACUCCCCUGAUUCCCAGGAUUCAGAGGGGUGUCCCCUGCAAGGUCGGCAGUGUCGAGUCAGCCCAGUAGAAAGCAAGAAGUUGCAAGAUCGAAUUCCAGUGUCAGAUUUCCUCCUUUGCCUUCUACAUUCUGGAACAUAUUUUAGCUAAUGAAAAUGGACAUCCUCAUGACAGCAAAAGCUGAUAGGUUCAGAGACAACUGUAGAUUUUGCAAGACUCACAUGUUGUGACACCAGAUUUUCAGAAGCCUUAAGAAAGUAGAAGACAAGGAAGUCCUGAAAUAAAUAAGUACUCAAUAUUGAAGUAUGUUGAUUGUUAAAAUAAUCAUCUCCUCCAGUAGUUACGUCAUUGAUACGCAAGAUUGUUCUUGCUCUUCAUUAAUUUUUGCCCUAACUGUGACAACA